AAAACAAUAGUUCACUCCGAAAAGCAACUCACUGUCUGUGCCGGUGAGCUUAUUUUUCAAAUACCUCUUUACAUGAUCGGAAAUCGAAAAGCUAUCUCGUUCGCCUUCUCCACAUUGUUACCUUUCUUUUUUAAAUAUUCAAUAAUACACAUUGUGCUUGUUAGGUUUUCGUUUUCGUCAUUUUCAAUUUUCUUUUUGUUGCUUGAAUUUCUGCUUGGUUGCCGAGAAAACGUAGGGAAGCAAGGUCGAACAGGGGAAACUAAGCUGCAUGUUGGUGCUCGAGUCUUUUUUUAGCUUUACUUGACACGUGACUCGUGUAGCGAGUAAACUUUGAUUAAAAUUAUGGCUUUUACGUUUUCGAAGUGUCAUUUGGGGGAUUCUUGUUUUAUUCAAAUUGAUGUUUAAGUUUUGAUGGCGUAUUUAUGUAUUUGUAUAUCUCUCCUAGUGUCUUACUGUGUGUUAGGUUUGUUGAUACAGAAAGAGCCUAACAGAUUGUUGACUUAAGAUACUUUGCGUUUCGAAGUGUAACUAAGCUCUAUGUUUUUGUCAAUACUUCUAAAGGUGUUAUUUGUGAGCUAAUUAUUGUCAUUAAUUGUGAAUUCUGCUGAUAUAUUUUUCACUUUAGGCUUCAUUUGCUUAAAGGUGAUGUUUGUGAUUUUCUUGCAAGCCUAGUUAACUACUAUUGAGUAAUGGCACCAAAUCCCAGAGUUGUGAGUGCCUUUCGUGCAAUGAAGGCUAUUGGUAUAAAUGAAGAUAAAGUGAAACCAGUUCUAAAGAAGCUUCUGAAAUUAUAUGAUAAAAACUGGGAACUUAUUGAAGAAGAAAAUUAUAGAGUUCUAGCUGAUGCCAUAUUUGAUGAUGAUGAUUCCAAGGGACCAAAUUUUGGGGAAGAAGCUGAGGUGCAUGAUGAACCUGAACAGCCACUUAAACGACUGCGGUCAAGAGGCCAAGAAGAGCAAGCUUCUGCAUCUCCUAAUAACUGUAAUCUGAUAGCAGGUGGACCUCCAUUGAAAAAGCCUAAAGUAGAGGAAGAAGCAGUACGGGGCACAAAUUCUCUGCAAAGAUCACCAGAUAUGAGAAAGUCUCAACAUGGGUCUGUUUCAACCCAGAAUCAUUAUUCACAGUCACCUCAGGUGCGGCACUCAUACAAGGGAAAAGAACCUAUGUUGCCUCAUGUUGCUUCCGAAGAAAAGAGACCUUCUGUGGAGAGACCAUCUCAUGCAGUGCAGAUUAGAGAUCCUGUAGUUGAUCGAGGCAAACAAAAGAUGCCUGAAUCUUAUGCUUUAAUUAAGCCUAAAGAUGAGCCUUUUACUGACGACUUGCCUCCCACAGACCUAGAGGCUCCUCUUGCAAUGAUCCAGCCACCUCUUGCAAUGAUCCAGCCAGAUUCUACUGUUAUGAGUCUGUCACAAGGAAAGCCGGAUGAUCAGGAGUCUCCUGCAUCCCAUAGUGGAGCAGAAGAAAAUGGAUGUGAUAGUCUUCGAGCGUCAUCAAGUGAAAAACGAAUCAACUCUGAGCUUGCAGCUGUUCAAGAUGGAUCUCCUGCUAACUUAGAGGUUGCCUCCUCAUCAUUGGGAGAGGUGAAGAUUUCUUUGAGCUGCGACUCUAUGCUUGGAAGACCAAAUUUUCAUAUGCCUAGUCAAGAUGAAUUUCUGAAAUCGAUGCAGGAGAAAUGUCUCCGGUCAUAUAAAAUUCUUGAUCCUAACUUUUCUGUCUUGCAAAUGCUGAAAGAUAUGUGUGAGUGCUUCCUGGAAUUGGGAACUGAUUCCUCUCAUGAAUCGCAGGAAAGGUUAAUGAAUGUAACAACAACUGUUGAUGUAUUGAAGAAAUCAGCUGCCUGCUGUGGUUUGGGUAAUGGAUCAAUUGAUGCACGUAGUUGUACUGAGGUGUCUGUACAUCAGAUUGCAAGGCAACUACAAUCCUUCACUGAGGGUACACACACUAGUGCCAAUGGUUCUGUUGAAAUUGACAGAGGACAUGAGUUGAGAGACCCCAAAUCACAUAGUUUGGUGGUUGUUCCACAGCAUCAACUCACUUCUGAAGAGAUAAGAUCUAUUCAUGAUUGUAAUGACAUAACUAAGGGCGAAGAGUUGGUUGAGAUCUCAUGGUUAAAUGAAAUCAACAAUGAGUGUCCUUCAUCUUUUAACUACAUUCCUGAAAACCUGAUUUUUCAAGAUGCUCAUGUGAAGUUCACUCUUUCUCAAAUUAUAGCUGAAGAUUGCUGUUCUACAUGUAUUGGUGAUUGUCUGUCCUCAACAACAGUUUGUGUUUGUGCUGCUGAAACUGGAGAUAAGUUUGCAUAUACAUCAGAGGGCCUCCUGAGGGAGGAUUUCUUAGAGGACUGUAUCUCUAUGACUCGUGAUCCUCACCGGCAGUGCCUCUCCUAUUGCAAAGCUUGCCCACUUGAAAGAUCAAAAAAUGAGGAGAUCUUAGAACCAUGCAAAGGUCACUUGAAAAGGAAACAUAUAAAAGAAUGUUGGAGAAAAUGUGCCUGCCAUAGGCUGUGUGGAAAUCGAGUUGUGCAGCGAGGUAUGGUAUGCAAAUUGCAGGUUUUCUUUACACCUGAAGGAAAGGGAUGGGGCCUUAGAACCCUGGAAAAGCUGCCAAAAGGAACCUUUGUGUGUGAGUAUGUUGGAGAAAUACUAACCAACAAAGAGUUGCAUGAGAGAAACAUGCAAAGAAUAAGAGGCGCCACUAGUGAUUUUCAUACUUAUCCAGUUUUAUUAGAUGCAUAUUGGUGCUUGAAAGGAGCUGUGAAGAACGAAGAAGCGCUUUGUUUGGAUGCAACAUUCUAUGGAAAUGUUGCUAGGUUUAUCAAUCAUAGCUUGCCUUCUUCACGACCAGAGAUGUGGAUGCAAUGGAAGAGCUAACUUGGGAUUAUGGCAUUGACUUUAAUGACAAUGAUCAUCCUGUGGAGGUAUUCCGGUGCCUGUGUGGCAGCAAGUUCUGCAGGAACAUGAAACGUUCAAAUAGGUCUAAGUCUGCAUCAAGAUGACUAGUACAUGGAGAUUAUGAGACUUGGACAUUUUUGUUGUUAUCUCUCCCCCCCACUUGACAAGGAGGAAAAGUUCAUGAAAUGGAUUUUGCCAAACUCCGAGUGCUUCUAGGGGAUUUGCUGUUAACUGGUGCAGAUUAGGUUUAUCCUGUAAAGCCCGCGGCUAAGUUAUACUGCACAUGUAAUGGAUGGAUAUGUACAGAAUGCAUGUCAACUGCCUAUGAGUUCUAUUUUGUAGCUGAAUCUUAGACAGUUUAAUUGCUUAGUAUUUGUACCCAUUUCUUUUUUGGGGCGUGGGAACUGGGAAUUUUGGUUGUUGGUGUUAACACCAGCUCUUCUGUCCUUGCCAUGCAUGAUAAAUGAAACAACCAAGUGGAGUUUUAAGUGUUA